CCUACGGGGGGCAGCAGUAGGGAAUAUUGCUCAAUGGGGGAAACCCUGAAGCAGCAACGCCGCGUGGAGGAUGAAGGCUUUCGGAUUGUAAACUCCUUUUGUUAGAGAAGAUAAUGACGGUAUCUAACGAAUAAGCACCGGCUAACUCCGUGCCAGCAGCCGCGGUAAUACGGAGGGUGCAAGCGUUAUUCGGAAUCACUGGGCGUAAAGGGCGCGUAGGCGGGAUAGCAAGUCAGAUGUGAAAUCCUAUGGCUUAACCAUAGAACUGCAUUUGAAACUGUGAGUCUAGAGUAUGGGAGAGGUAGGUGGAAUUCUUGGUGUAGGGGUAAAAUCCGUAGAGAUCAAGAGGAAUACUCAUAGCGAAGGCGGCCUGCUAGAACGUAACUGACGCUGAUGCGCGAGAGCGUGGGGAGCAAACAGGAUUAGAUACCCCAGUAGUC
rnacentral:rRNA from 1 species